rnacentral:rRNA from 1 species
CAGUCGCCGCGGGAAUACGAAGGGGGCUAGCGUUGCUCGGAAUUACUGGGCGUAAAGGGAGCGUAGGCGGACAUUUAAGUCAGGGGUGAAAUCCCAGAGCUCAACUCUGGAACUGCCUUUGAUACUGGGUGUCUUGAGUGUGAUAGAGGUAUGUGGAACUCCGAGUGUAGAGGUGAAAUUCGUAGAUAUUCGGAAGAACACCAGUGGCGAAGGCGACAUACUGGAUCAUUACUGACGCUGAGGCUCGAAAGCGUGGGGAGCAAACAGGAUUAGAUACCCGCGUAGUCCCUGUCUCUUAUAC